rnacentral:tRNA from 1 species
GUUGUUUUGGCAGAAUUAGUGCAGUAAAUUUAGAAUUUAUUUAUGUAAUUUUUAUUACAAGCAAUA